rnacentral:rRNA from 1 species
UACGUAGGGUGCGAGCGUUAAUCGGAAUUACUGGGCGUAAAGCGUGCGCAGGCGGUUCGUUGUGUCUGAUGUGAAAGCCCCGGGCUUAACCUGGGAAUGGCAUUGGAAACUGGCGAGCUGGAGUGUGGCAGAGGGGGGUGGAAUUCCGCGUGUAGCAGUGAAAUGCGUAGAGAUGCGGAGGAACACCGAUGGCGAAGGCAGCCCCCUGGGCCAACACUGACGCACAGGCACGAAAGCGUGGGGAGCAAACAGG